rnacentral:siRNA from 1 species
UGCAGAGGCGCAUAAUAGAUC